rnacentral:lncRNA from 1 species
GUUGUUUUCAGUGUUUCAAGUACAAUAAUGAUGCAAUCAAUAUUUCAUUCUGUAUAUGUGCAAGGAUUAUACAUGAAAGAUGAAAUUUCUGAAAGUGGGAUUUCUAUGUUGAAGGCUAUGUGCAGUUGUUUUUUUGUUCUGUUUUGUUUGACUUUGGUUUUGGGUUUCUUGGGGUGUGUGUGUGUGUGUGUUUUUGUUUUGUUUUUCCAAUACUGAGGAUUGACCAGGAGUGCUUUAUACCUAAGCUACAUAUAUCCUCAGCCCUUCUAUUUUUUAUUCUGAGUCUCACUCUGGCUGGCCUUGAAUUUGUGAUCCUGGAAUUACAGGUGUUUGCCACUGAUCCUGGCUAUGUUGUAAUCUUGAUAGAUGUUGCCUAAUUGGUCACAGAAGGUGCAGUUUAUGUUCCACAGGCAAUGUAUGAGGAUGCCUAUUUUCCCACACAUUUACCAACUUACUCUUUCAUCAUUCUUUUUUUUUAAGAGAGAGAGAAUUUUUUAAUAUUUAUUUUUUAGUUUUCGGCAGACACAACAUCUUUGUUUGUAUGUGGUGCUGAGGAUCGAACCCGGGCCACACGCAUGCCAGGCGAGUGCACUACCACUUGAGCCACAUCCCCAGCCCCCCUUUUUUUAAUUUAAAUGUUUCCAUUGGCUU